UCCGCAAUGGGCGAAAGCCUGACGGAGCAAUACCGCGUGAGGGAUGACGGCCUAUGGGUUGUAAACCUCUUUUUUCAGGGAGGAAGAAAGUGACGUGUACCUGAAGAAUAAGCAUCGGCUAACUCCGUGCCAGCAGCCGCGGUAAGACGGAGGAUGCAAGUGUUAUCCGGAAUCACUGGGCGUAAAGCGUCUGUAGGUGGUUGAAUAAGUCAGCUGUUAAAUCUUGAGGCUCAACCUCAAAAUCGCAGUCGAAACUAUUCGACUAGAGUAUAGUAGGGGUAAAGGGAAUUUCCAGUGUAGCGGUGAAAUGCGUAGAGAUUGGAAAGAACACCGAUGGCGAAGGCACUUUACUGGGCUAUUACUAACACUCAGAGACGAAAGCUAGGGUAGCAAAUGGGAUUAGAUACCCC
rnacentral:rRNA from 1 species